GAUCAUGGCUCAGGAUGAACGCUAGCGGCAGGCUUAACACAUGCAAGUCGAGGGGCAGCAUAGUGGAUAGCAAUAUCUAUGGUGGCGACCGGCGCACGGGUGCGUAACGCGUAUGCAACCUACCUUUAACAGGGGGAUAACACUGAGAAAUUGGUACUAAUACCCCAUAAUAUCGUAGAAGGCAUCUUUUAUGGUUGAAAAUUCCGAUGGUUAGAGAUGGGCAUGCGUUGUA
rnacentral:rRNA from 1 species